AGUAUCUUCCAAUGAAAUCCAACCAAGUUCAACAGAUAUUAAUUAUAAGAUAGGAACAAAAGCUGUUGCUUAAAGCUGAAGCACUAUCCGAUGUGUCGAUCAGUGGCUAGAAGAGCCAUAAAGUCGUGCAGACGGACAUCACUAGAAGAGCCAUCCUUGGUGAUUAAUGUUGAAAGUAAUGCGCCGAAACUGUAUCCAUCAAUUGAGGGACGCACAACACCUAGCCGUCAGCCCAGAAAAUAAUUAUAGUCACCAAGAUAUCAAGGUAAGUUGUAAAGGAAUGCCGAACUAAAGAUCGAGCAUUUAAACUUUUUUGAAAAAAAAUUGAAAGGAUGGUCUGAAACUAGCUGAAAAAACCUAGAAGAAACUUCGUGGGGAGAACUGGGGCAUUUAUACCGACCCAAUGCCUGAAUAGAGACUCUAACAUCUACGUACUCGAGAAAUCAAAACCUCCACAAAAAUAAAAGGUUAUUAUAAUCGGGCUAUCUAAUCUUUUACAUUAAGAUGUAUUUAUUUUUUUAAAAAAAGGCAGAGAGAAUUAUACAAAGGAGGUAGGUAUAUAUUAAGGAAGGGAAAAAGAAACCUAACGAAGGACUGGAAGUUUUGGAAUUAAAGGUCGGCGUAUACCAAAGUUCACCGGAGAGAGGCUCCUUUCCUUGCCAAGAACGCGCCGGAAGCAGGAAGAGAGAAGCCUUAGAC
rnacentral:lncRNA from 1 species